rnacentral:rRNA from 1 species
UACGUAGGGGGCAAGCGUUGUCCGGAUUUAUUGGGCGUAAAGAGCGUGUAGGCGGCUAGGUAGGUGGGUUGUGAAAACUGGAGGCUCAACCUUCAGACGUCGACCCGAACCCCCUGGCUAGAGUCCGGAAGAGGAGAGUGGAAUUCCUGGUGUAGCGGUGAAAUGCGCAGAUAUCAGGAAGAACACCCGUGGCGAAGGCGGCUCUCUGGGACGGUACUGACGCUGAGAAGCGAAAAGCGUGGGGAGCGAACAGG